CAGUGGCUAUAUUUCACAUACGCAAAAUAAAUGGAAUGGAAGAUUCUGAUAUAGAAAACUUUUUGGGUCAGCUACACAAAAGAGGCUUUUCAGCUCACCGUACGCCUUUAGAUCGAUCACUAGAACAGGAGAACACUGCUGAAUAUCAACAACUAAUUGAAAAUAUAGCUCGAACUCCUCAAGUUCAAAUAGGAUACCCUUACAAGGAAAAAGAUUUUAAGGUUAUCAUUAAAAACGAUCACAGGAAUAAAUAUCAAGACUGGCCAUGGACGCAGUAUAUUUAUGUAAAACCCGCGUGGCUGGGUUCGGAUACGCCAAGAAAACAUUCAAUAUAUAAUCUAAAACAUAAAAACAGUAAUAACGAUCUUAGUAAAUACUCCAAAGCGUACUUAGUACUCGAUCCGUAUGCUGAUAUUACUGAGACAGAUGUAAGAGAUUUAAGCAAUAUUGUAUCAUCAGUAUUCCAAAAACCUAGAAAGUCUUCCUUAGAAGAACGAAGCCAAACGAAACGACGUUACAAAGGUUUUUUGGUUAAGGACGAUAAUCGAAGAAGAAUGCGAGAGUCAAAAGAAAUGUAUCUAGAAAAGGAUUCACAAGAGCGUGAAUAUAAACCGAAGAGAUCUCGAGGAGAUUACAACGGCGGCGGCGGGCGGACUCCUAUACCGUACAUUAGACAUCGUGGUGAUAUAUUUGAGAGGGAAUAAAUAAUACAUACACAUAUGUUAGUGUAUCAUCAGUAUUCCAAAAACCUAGAAAGUCUUCCUUAGAAGAACGAAGCCAAACGAAACGACGUUACAAAGGUUUUUUGGUUAAGGACGAUAAUCGAAGAAGAAUGCGAGAGUCAAAAGAAAUGUAUCUAGAAAAGGAUUCACAAGAGCGUGAAUAUAAACCGAAGAGAUCUCGAGGAGAUUACAACGGCGGCGGCGGGCGGACUCCUAUACCGUACAUUAGACAUCGUGGUGAUAUAUUUGAGAGGGAAUAAAUAAUACAUACACAUAUGUUAGGUACUAAAUACCCAUUUUGAUUGUUUUACUUCAACAUUCUAUUUACUAAGGAACGUAGGCGUUCCUUUGCAAUUUAUACUUAAUAAUAUAAAUGCGAAAGUAAGUCUGUCUGUUACCUUUUCACGGCUAAACGGCUGGACUGAUAAUGAUGAAUUUUUGUAUUAUGGUAAUUGGUAGGACAUUGUCCAGAAAGGGCGAAUUCGCCGCGAUUCUGUCGCGCGUCUUACGCGCGACCGUUGCGUCUACAAGGCGCGUAUUACGCGCGAGCAUUUGGGGAGGAAUUCAUUAUGAAACAUGGAGUUGAAUGCGCACUCGCUCUAGAGUUCGCGCGGUAACUGGACGCAACAAGGCGUCGCUAGUACCUCGACUCGCGGGAAAUACGCGCGAA